AUUUAAGCAAAAUUGACUUUUUAGGUUCGUUCAUUUAAUGAUGUAUGUGGUCCAUAUUAUGAACCAUAUACAUCAUUAAAUGAAUGAAUUUAAAAUGUCAAUUUUGCUUAUAU
rfam:Medicago truncatula strain A17 chromosome 7, whole genome shotgun sequence.